rnacentral:tRNA from 1 species
UUAAAAGUAGUUUAUUGAAAAUAUUAACUUUGGAAGUUAUUGAAUGAUGUGCUAAUAUCACUUUUAAA